CAUUGUUUGUUCAUUCACCUUUCAAGAAACCGUCGUCAUCUGUGUGCAUUUUUUCAUUGCAAUUCUAUGCGUAGCUUCCAUUUUAACUCAAGGAGAAACAAGAUAUUACGUUGGCAAAGCGUCAUGUCCAGAUAUCAAUGAAGAAUAAAUGAAUUUUUGUGUGUUUUUGGGAUAUCCUAAGGGUCAAGGCAAUUGUCACUUGCAACUUUGUUGUUGCGAUUAAUAUAUGUUGCUUCUCAAAAAAUAUGUAAACACACCGUCUUUAUGACGAGUGGAAUAAUAAAUUUGUCGAUUUCAAUUUUAAAUAA